GGUAAUACGGAGGGUGCGAGCGUUAAUCGGAAUUACUGGGCGUAAAGCGCGCGUAGGCGGCCGUGAUAAGCCGGUUGUGAAAGCCCCGGGCUCAACCUGGGAACGGCAUCCGGAACUGUCAGGCUAGAGUGCAGGAGAGGAAGGUAGAAUUCCCGGUGUAGCGGUGAAAUGCGUAGAGAUCGGGAGGAAUACCAGUGGCGAAGGCGGCCUUCUGGACUGACACUGACGCUGAGGUGCGAAAGCGUGGGUAGCAAACAGGAUUAGAUACCCUGGUAGUCCACGCCGUAAACGAUGUCGACUAGCCGUUGGGGUCCUUGAGACCUUUGUGGCGCAGUUAACGCGAUAAGUCGACCGCCUGGGGAGUACGGCCGCAAGGUUAAAACUCAAAUGAAUUGACGGGGGCCCGCMCAAGCGGUGGAGCAUGUGGUUUAAUUCGAUGCAACGCGAAGAACCUUACCUACCCUUGACAUCGUGCGAACUUGSCAGAGAUGCMUUGGUGCCUUCGGGAGCGCACAGACAGGUGCUGCAUGGCUGUCGUCAGCUCGUGUUGUGAAAUGUUGGGUUAAGUCCCGUAACGAGCGCAACCCUUGUCCCUAUUUSCCMGCGMYYCGGUCGGGAACUCUAGGGAGACUGCCGGUGACAAACCGGAGGAAGGUGGGGACGACGUCAAGUCAUCAUGGCCCUUACGGGUAGGGCUACMCACGUGCUACAAUGGCCGGUACAAAGGGUUGCGAAGCCGCGAGGUGGAGCUAAUCCCGGAAASCCGGUCUCAGUCCGGAUCGGAGUCUGCAACUCGA
rnacentral:rRNA from 1 species